rnacentral:rRNA from 1 species
AGAGUGCCUGGGGGAUGUUCCGGCGUUGAGAGGCGAUGAAGGACGUGGGACGGCUGCGUAAAGCUGCGGUGAGCUGCCAACCAAGCAUUGACCCGCAGAUGUCCGAAUCCGGAAACGGCUAGGAGCAUGCUCCUAGAUCCACGGCUGAAUCCAUAGGCCGUGGAGGCGAACGAGGGGAACUGAAACAUCUCAGUACCCUCAGGAAGAGAAAGAAACAUCGACUUCCUCAGUAGCGGCGAGCGAACGGGAAUGAGCCCAAACCGAUGGCCUGUAAGCCUGCAGGCGUUUUGUCAUCGGGGUUGUGGGAAGCACGUCAUCGUCCUGCAGGACGGUGGGCAAGUCAUAAAACCAUGUUCUAGUGGAAGGUCCUGGAAAGUUCCGCCACAGACGGUGAUAGCCCGGUACACGAAAGGGCAUGGUCUUGCUGUUGCUCUCCCGAGUAGCGCCAGACACGGGAAACCUGGUGUGAAGCUGGGGGGACCACCCCCCAAGGCUAAGUACUCCUCAACGACCGAUAGUGAAUGAGUAGCGUGAGCGAACAAUGAAAAGUACCCCGGUGAGGGGAGUGAAAUAGUACCUGAAACCAGGCACUUACAAGCUGUCGGAGCCCUAUGGCCGCAAGGCAACGGGUGACGGCGUACCUUUUGCAUAAUGGACCAGCGAGUUACUUUGCGCAGCGAGGUUAAGGGCCUUCGGUCCGAAGCCGAAGCGAAAGCGAGUGCGAAAUGUGCGACUCAAGUUGUGCGGAGUAGACGCGAAGGCAGGUGAUCUAUCCAUGGCCAGGCUGAAGCGGGCCUAACAGCUCGUGGAGGGCCGAACCCGUUUACGUUGAAAAGUGAUGGGAUGAGCUGUGGAUCGGAGUAAAAAGCUAAUCGAACCUGCAGAUAGCUCGUUCUCCUCGAAAUAUCUUUUGGGAUAGCGUCGCGAAAUUAGCUUCCGGGGGUAGAGCACUGAUCUAGAGCGGGGCCCAUUGCGGGAACCCGCCUUAAUCAAACUCCGAAUACCGGAAGUGGUACCGCGGCAGUCAGUCCAUGGGUGAUAAGGUCCAUGGACGAGAGGGAAACAGCCCGGACCGUCGGUUAAGGUCCCCAAGAACUGCUAAGUGGUAAAAGGAAGUGGAUUUACUAAGACAGCCAGGAUGUUGGCUUAGAAGCAGCCAUCAUUUAAAAAGUGCGUAACAGCUUACUGGUCGAGUAGAUCUGCGCCGAAAAUUAACGGGACUAAGCAGUUCACCGAAACCGCGGACUGUCAGACAGGCGUUGCCUUCUGGCAGUGGUAGAGGAGCGUUCCACAUUAGGUUGAAGGUCGACCGCAAGGACGGCUGGACGACGUGGAAGUGCGAAUGCUGGUAUAAGUAACGAUAAAGCAAGUGAGAAUCUUGCUCGCCGAAAACCCAAGGUUUCCUGGGGAAGGUAAUUCCGCCCAGGGUUAGUCGGUCCCUAAGGCGAGGCCGAAAGGCGUAGUCGAUGGGAACCAGGUUAAUAUUCCUGGGCCACCGGGUAGUGACGGAUGCCGGACUUUGUCCAUCCUUAUUGGAUUGGGUGGGCAAUAAAGGCGUCCCUGGAAAUAGCUCCCGGAAUAAGACCGUACCCCAAACCGACACAGGU